GACUGUCGGACUUUGCCACCCCGGCAGUGACACUGCCGCGUGGCUAAAGACGAACGGUCCUGUGUCUCUUAUCUGUGAGCCCCCGCACUGCCGUCCCACUGCAGCAGCAGUGUGACAUUCAACCAUGAUGUGCAGAAAGAUCAGGUGAAAGAGGGAAACUUUAGCCUUCGCUGGAGGUGACCGUGCUGCUUGUUACUGACACCAUUUCAGCCCACAGGGGGUUUUCCUGCAUGAUUACGUCACUGUGAUCUGUUUUUAUUUACACGUGUCUGUUGCUCAGGAAGUUUCCACAUAAGGCAGAAAAUGAGCAUUCAAUGAUAGAAUGACCUCAGUCCGAUCACAUGAACUAUUUAAUGAAACGCAGCCUUUUUAACUAGAAUGACCGUGCGGCACCAGCUCCCGGUGAAGCUUCUCUGGCUUUCACGGCAGGUUUUAGGUGACACAUUCUCUUCCUAACCCAAAAAAUUGGUGCUAAUGUCCUGCACCUGCUGUUUCAAAGCAGCCUAUUUCGAGGCGAUAAGCCUCAACCUCGGUGAUACACGACGACAGAUGCCAUCGCAGCCGCGCUCUGCAACCAGAUUCGACGUUCGCCAGGAAUAUACUCCACGGACUCUGAGGAAAACUCACAAACAAGCCGGUAUUGCUGUUGGUCCAGCAUUAAGAAUGCAGUAGGAAGCAGCAUUAAGUGCAGACACAUCCGCAAGUCUCGAUUACAGAUCAAGCUCGAAGCAGGUUUCCUGCGGCGCUGCUAAAAAGUUGUCCGUUCCAGUGAUCGAGUGACAUGAGGCACAAUGGACACCAGCCCUAGCCGAGGUCAGUCGCUGUCCACCAGUGACCCAGAUACACGGGAGCCAUGAGAAACGAGCUGCAGCUGGAUUUCAAAAUUAGAAGCCUGUUUGCUGGAAGGUUAUUAAGUUUCAGAUGCCAAGAGUCCAUGUUGCCUCCACUGACUCUACUUGGGAAUAAUAGCAUCACGUGGAACCAGCAUCAGCUAUGCAGAACGACUUCACUGUGACUUUACUCCGUUAGGUGGAGCCACACCGGGAGUUUGCUCAGCAGUGGCUGCUACCAAUAAAUUUGAUUCCUGUUCCCGUGAUACCAGGGUGUCCAGACGUCUCUUGCAGGCAUCCAGCAGUUUUUUCCUGGGGCCCAAAGGGAUGUGAAUGCUGGAGAGGUCCUGAUCUGAGCAAAGCAGCAGCGCCGGCAGGUCAAUCUUCUCCCUCCUGAAGAUCGGCAUGAACUCACUGAGGCUCUGCGAGGCCAGGAAGGUCUCGAGGGGACUGUUCUCUGGAUCCAUGUCCUCGUCCAGCCCAAUAU